GGUGACAGAGGUUCUGGGUCAGCAACAGGACAAAUUGUAACACAGAAUUUUCAUUUUCAUUUCUGUAACAAGAAGUAUGACUGGCAAGAUUGUCACUUAAGCAUUUUACUUGAGAAGAAACAUCACAUCAAGUAAAAAGGAGAUAAGAAGAAACAACUUGUUAAGAAGAGACAAAGUGUUCUAUUUUACCGAAAGCAUUCCAGGCAUGUAUUACACAGCAUUAUUCACAAUUCAGCAAUCCAGAGGGUGGAGCAUCACAUUCCAGACAACCCUACCUAAAACUGCUGAGAAGAGAAGCUGAGAAUCUUUGAACUUCAACAGAAAAAAAAUAACUUUUCAUCAAGAUUUUUUCCUCUUUUUCUCCUUCUUUUUUUCUUUUCUAUGUUCAAUUGUGACCUUAAUGAUACAUGGACAUUCAUAUAUAUCAUAUUUGUUUUUUUUCUCAUUUCUAGCAUUUUUGAAGCCAGUUGUUUUUCAUAGAUCAGAGUUUUGAGGAGUAGGAUGUUUGAUUAGUAUAUUUUCGUUUUGUUUUGUAUUCUUUUAUUUUUAUUUUUAAGUUUUUACACACACACACACACACACACACACACACACACAUAUAUAUAUAUUUCUCUUACUUGUUUCCCUUGAUUCUCUUUCUUUUCUUCCAUUAACCAUCAAUCUCUAUUGUUCUCUUUCACUCUUCCUUUGUUUUAUUUCUACCUUCUCUCUUCCUCCCUCAUAAUCAUCACAUCCUGUAUCACUUCUGUUUUCUCCCUGUCCACCAUUUGAAACUGUAAACCCUUUUACAAACUUGGUAUUUUUAUUGUAAGCAAUAACUGAUCACAUCCUUUCCAUUUACUAUGAUAAUUAACACUGUAGAUGUUAUAGUAGGAACUAUUUGGUUUAAUGUUGUAUAUUGUUUGCAUUGACUGUUAUUAUUUUUCUUCACCUAAAUGGUGAGGUACUGUAAACCUUCAAGAAAACUACAAGUCCACAGGGUAGAAACUCUACUACCUCAGAUCCAUAUUGCUAGAUGGAUAGACACACAAACAACACGAUAAAGCAAAGGAACAAACUGCACUAAACAAACCAAGAUACUUCAAUAACAGAAUCUAAUAACACCACAGUGGAAGAAAUGCCAGAGAAGGAAUUUAGAAUGUACAUAGUCAGAUUGAUAUGCAAAAUAAAGGACAACAUAAGGAGUGAAAUCAGAAAGAAAAUACAAGAAGUGAAAGAUCACUUCAAUAAAGAUCUAGAGAUCCUGAAAAAAAAUGAAGCAGAAAUCCUGGAAAUGAAGGAAUUAAUAAACCAAAUUAAGAAUUCAAUGGAAAGCAAUGCCAACAGUCACUUGGAAGACAGAAUUUUAGUCAAUGAAGACAAAAUAUAUAAUAUUGAAAACAAAGUUGACCAUGAAGAAAAGAUGUUAAGAGACCACAUGAACAGAACUU